rnacentral:rRNA from 1 species
CCUACGGGUGGCUGCAGUGGGGAAUAUUGGACAAUGGGCGAAAGCCUGAUCCAGCCAUGCCGCGUGUGUGAAGAAGGCCUUCGGGUUGUAAAGCACUUUCAGUGGGGAAGAAAGCCUUGGGGCUAAUACCCUCGAGGAAGGACAUCACCCACAGAAGAAGCACCGGCUGAACUCCGUGCCAGCAGCCGCGGUAAUACGGAGGGUGCGAGCGUUAAUCGGAAUUACUGGGCGUAAAGCGCGCGUAGGCGGUCUGAUAAGCCGGUUGUGAAAGCCCCGGGCUCAACCUGGGAACGGCAUCCGGAACUGUCAGGCUAGAGUGCAGGAGAGGAAGGUAGAAUUCCCGGUGUAGCGGUGAAAUGCGUAGAGAUCGGGAGGAAUACCAGUGGCGAAGGCGGCCUUCUGGACUGACACUGACGCUGAGGUGCGAAAGCGUGGGUAGCAAACAGGAUUAGAUACCCCGGUAGUC